AGAGUUUGAUCCUGGCUCAGGACGAACGCUGGCGGCGUGCCUAAUACAUGCAAGUCGAACGCACUCUCGUUAGAUUGAAGAAGCUUGCUUCUGAUUGAUAACAUUUGAGUGAGUGGCGGACGGGUGAGUAACACGUGGGUAACCUGCCCUAAAGUGGGGGAUAACAUUUGGAAACAGAUGCUAAUACCGCAUAAAACCUAGCACCGCAUGGUGCAAGGUUGAAAGAUGGUUUCGGCUAUCACUUUAGGAUGGACCCGCGGUGCAUUAGUUAGUUGGUGAGGUAAAGGCUCACCAAGACCGUGAUGCAUAGCCGACCUGAGAGGGUAAUCGGCCACACUGGGACUGAGACACGGCCCAGACUCCUACGGGAGGCAGCAGUAGGGAAUCUUCCACAAUGGACGAAAGUCUGAUGGAGCAACGCCGCGUGAGUGAAGAAGGUUUUCGGAUCGUAAAACUCUGUUGUUGGAGAAGAGCGUAUUUGAUAGUAACUGAUCAGGUAGUGACGGUAUCCAACCAGAAAGCCACGGCUAACUACGUGCCAGCAGCCGCGGUAAUACGUAGGUGGCAAGCGUUGUCCGGAUUUAUUGGGCGUAAAGCGAGCGCAGGCGGUUUCUUAAGUCUGAUGUGAAAGCCUUCGGCUCAACCGAAGAAGUGCAUCGGAAACUGGGAAACUUGAGUGCAGAAGAGGACAGUGGAACUCCAUGUGUAGCGGUGAAUGCGUAGAUAUAUGGAAGAACACCAGUGGCGAAGGCGGCUGUCUGGUCUGUAACUGACGCUGAGCUCGAAGCAUGGGUAGCAACAGGAUUAGAUACCCUUGUAGUCC
rnacentral:rRNA from 1 species